rnacentral:tRNA from 2 species
GCAUUGGUGGUUCAGCGGUAGAGUUCUUACCUUCAGUGUGGGAGACCCAGGUUCGAUUCCUGGCCAGUGCA